rnacentral:rRNA from 1 species
AUACGUAGGGGGCGAGCGUUGUCCGGAUUUAUUGGGCGUAAAGGGUUCGCAGGCGGUCUCUUAAGUUAGAUGUGAAAGAUCACGGCUCAACCGUGGUAAGCAUUUAAAACUGGGAGACUUGAGUUAAGGAGAGGAAAGUGGAAUUCCUAGUGUAGCGGUGAAAUGCGUAGAUAUUAGGAGGAAUACCAGUGGCGAAGGCGACUUUCUGGACUUAUACUGACGCUGAGGAACGAAAGCGUGGGGAGCAAACAGGAUUAGAUACCCUGGUAGUCCACGCCGUAAACGAUGAGUGCUAGGUGUCGGGGGUCAAACCUCGGUGCCGCAGCUAACGCAUUAAGCACUCCGCCUGGGGAGUACGUACGCAAGUAUGAAACUCAAAUGAAUUGACGGGG